rnacentral:misc_RNA from 1 species
AGCAGCCGCGGUAAUUCCAGCCCCAAUAGCGUAUAUUAAAGUUGUUGCAGUUAAAAAGCUCGUAGUUGAAUUUCGGGAUCAAUUUGCUGGUCGUGCCUCUGGCACGUACUGGUAUUAUUGGUUUCUCCCUUCUGACGAACCAUGAUGUCAUUAAUUUGAUGUCGUGGAGAAUCAGGACUGUUACUUUGAAAAAUUAGAGUGUUUAAAGCAGGCAUUAGCUUGAAUACAUUAGCAUGGAAUAAUGAAAUAGGACGUUUGAUCCUAUUUUGUUGGUUUCUAGGAUUGACGUAAUGAUUAAUAGGGAUAGUUGGGGGCAUUAGUAUUCAAUUGUCAGAGGUGAAAUUCUUGGAUUUAUUGAAGACUAACUACUGCGAAAGCAUUUGCCAAGGAUGUUUUCAUUAAUCAAGAACGAAAGUUAGGGGAUCGAAGACGAUCAGAUACCGUCGUAGUCUUAACCAUAAACUAUGCCGACUAGGGAUCGGAUGAUGUUAAUUUUAAUGACUCAUUC